rnacentral:lncRNA from 1 species
GCUGAAUGAAAUCAAGCUCCCCUAAUCUCAAUUGGGAAAUUGGACCAAUGGAAAUGAUGUUCAGUGGCUUGCAGAUGUACCUAAUUAACCAGCCAGAUUAGAAGGGUCUAGGAUUCCUUUGUAAGGCGCAGCAAGAAAGACAAUCAGAUACAAUAUCAGGGAUCUCCUGGUAAGGCUUCUGGCUACCAUUAGUUCUGAAUACUGAGGUUUUGAUGAGAAAAAUGGCUGUGAGUUUUGAAAUGUCUUUGAGACUUUCUUGGAUUUGUUGCCUGCUAAUUGGAGGGAUAACCUGUUAUCCUCCACCUAAAGGUAACUAUAGAUAUAUUCCCCAAAAUAAAUUAAAAGGAACCACGACUGGCCCAAAUACUUUAGGUGGAGCAACUGGAUCCCGUACCGAAGCAGCCACCCACAAUGCCUCAGCAAGUGCCACGACUGGCCCAAAUACUUUAGGUGAAGCAACUGGCCACAGUGCCUCGCAAGCGGCCCCCCGUAAUGCCUCGGCAGCGCAAGCGGCCACACAUAAUGCCACGGCAAGUGUGGUAACUGGCCCAAAUACCUUAGGUGAAUCAUCUGGCCACAAUGCUUCAUCAGGUGUCAGGGCGGGCCCAAAUGCCUUGGGUGAAGCAGCAGCAGCAACCCGAAACGCCUCAGCAAGCGUUACAGCUGGGCCAAAUACCUUAGGUGAAGCAUCUGGCCACGGUUCCUCGGAAGCAACUGGCCACGGAGCCUCGGCAGCAGAAGCAACUGGCCACAGUGCCACCCACAAUGCCUCGGCAAGUGUGUCAACUGGCCCAAAUACCUUAGGUGAAGCACCUGGCCACAAUGCUUCAUCAGGUGUCACGGCUGGCCCAAAUACCUUGGGUGAAGCAUCCGACUCCCGUGCCUCAGCAGAAGCAGCCACCCACAAUGCCUCAGCAAGCGUCACGGCUGGCCCAAAUACCUUAUGUGAAGCAACCGGCCACUUUGCCUCAUCAAGUGCGGAAUCUGGUUCAAAUGCUUCGGCAGGAGCGACAGGCGCCCUUGCCUCGGCAGGAGCGACAGGCGCCCUUGCCUCGGCAGGAGCGACAGGCCCCCUUGCCUCGGCAGGAGCGACAGGCCCCCUUGCCUCGGCAGGAGCGACAGGCCCCCUUGCCUCGGCAGGAGCGACAGGCGCCCUUGCCUCGGCAGGAGCGACAGGCGCCCUUGCCUCGGCAGGAGCGACAGGCGCCCUUGCCUCGGCAGGAGCGACAGGCGGCCUUGCCUCGGCAGGAGCGACAGGCGCCCCUUGCCUCGGCAGGAGCGACAGGCGCCCCUUGCCUCGGCAGGAGCGACAGGCGCCCUUGCCUCGGCAGGAGCGACAGGCGCCCUUGCCUCGGCAGGAGCGACAGGCGCCCUUGCCUCGGCAGGAGCACAGCCUUGAACAGGAGGGCCAACUCCUCAAGCAACAUGGAUUUUAGCAGCAGUGAUGUUUCUCAGGAUUUUGUGUCUGAUGGUGACAAUGAAAGCACCUAAUGUGUCAGCUCCAGCAGCGUUCAAGGCAGCAUCGUUGAACAGUCAGUCCUCAUCCCAAUAUAGUUACAAAUCGGUUUAUGAGAAUGGCAGAACUGUCUACUCCCAAUCCUGCCACACCAGUGGGGAGGUUAUACCUUUUUGAUAGCGGAGAAGCAUAUCCCCACCUGCUAAAAACUCUCAACCUGCUAAAGGAGCCCCACCACAAGGCUACGGCUACUGGGAUGCAAUGUAAUGUAUAACUUUUACACAUCUGAACUUUGCGUUCUGAUUUUGAAAUCCUUUGUACUAAUCAGCUAUCAACAGAAUUGUAAAUGUAGAUUCAUCCUUUGGAUGACAUUUCUGAGUUGUUGCUGACACUUUCUUUAAGCUUCCACUGUAUGCUUUUGCGAUGGCCAGGGAGUUGCUGCUGCUCAUGCUACCCUGCAUUACUUGUAAAACAAUAAAAUAUUGUACCUUUAAAAGGGCCUCCUUGUGUUUUUGAAAUACUGUGUGUUUGUCUACCUUUGGCUUGUUGGUUGAGAACAGUGUUGGUUGCCAGUGCAAUUUGUAGUAAAAGGGAAUGUGGUUCACAGUUCCUAAUCUUUUGGAUUUCAAAUGUAUAAGUUCUUUGCUGGUUGGCUCUACAUUAAAGCCACUGAACCCACCUUUACAUGGAUACUGAAGUAUUUAUUUUGUGUUGACAUGUAAACAUCAAAUCCUGUUUUACAAAAACCUGAAAGCUUGUACCCCGGAGAUGGGCUACUGUGGCAUGUAAACAUCUUAAUUCUGUGUUUUGUAGUAUGCACAGGCUCCGUUUCGCAUCUCAUGGUUGUCUGACUCUGUCAAAGAAAUCAAUUUAAAGUUGGCUACCUGCUCAGUUUGAUCCACCAUAACUGAGUUUAAUGGCUACUUUCACCCCUAAUUUAGACAAGCUUCUGCUUACUUACAUUAGGUAGGCCAUUUGUCAACUAGUUUAAUACAUGCAGCUUCUCUUCUGUCACAACUUGUUGCCCCAUAAGACUAAAGUAGUGCUCACAAAUGUCUUGCGUUGAUAGACUGAAUGCAUUAGUAACCUUAACAGGUAAAAUGAUUGAAGGAGCAGGUAGCAUGCUAGAACACAUUGGUCCUGUGCCAAAUGUCAUUUUGACAGAUUAUAAGGAAAUGGAAAGCUGAGAAUGGUAACUUCAGUUAGUCUUGGGUGUGUAUUUUAUGUGGUUGAAAUGCUGUCUGUUAGCAAAGAUGACAACACGUGCAUUCGCAUUUUCCCUGAGACGCUGAUAGAAAUAUCAACUCCUGUUCCCAAGACAAUUUAAAGAUACAUUUUUAUCAUUUCACUGCAAAUGAAGUUAAAAUAAACUCAAAAGAAACAUCC